rnacentral:rRNA from 1 species
AUACGUAGGUGACAAGCGUUAUCCGGAUUUACUGGGCGUAAAGGGCGUGUAGGCGGUCUUGCAAGUCAGAAGUGAAAUUCCUGAGCUCAACUCGGGCGCUGCUUCUGAAACUGCAGGACUUUAGUGCUGGAGGGGAUAGCGGAAUUCCUAGUGGAGCGGUAAAAUGCGCAGAUAUUAGGAAGAACACCGGUGGCGAAGGAGUCUAUAUGGACAGGAAAUUACGCUGAGGCGCGAAAGCGUGGGGAGCAAACAGGAUUAGAUACCCUGGUAGGCCACACUGUUAACGAUGAAUGCUCGGUGUAGGGGGUAUCGACCCCGUCUGUGCCUCAGUCAACACAAUAAGCAUUCCGCCUGGGGAGUGCGGCUGCAAGGUUGCAACUCAAAGGAAUUGACGGUG